rfam:Gorilla gorilla gorilla genomic chromosome, chr10, whole genome shotgun sequence
GCUGGGCGCGGUGGCUCAUGCCUGUAAUCCCAGCACUUUGGGAGGCUGAGGUGGGUGGAUCACCUGAGGUCAGGAGUUCAAGACCUGCCUGGCCAACAUGGUGAAACCCCGUUUCUU